AGGACGAACGCUGGCGGCGCGCUUAACACAUGCAAGUCGAGCGAGAACCAGGGCUUCGGCCCUGGGGACAGCGGCGAACGGGUGAGUAACACGUGGAUAACCUGCCCUCGGCACCGGGAUAGCCCGAGGAAACUCGGAUUAAUACCGGAUAGCCCUUCCGACUCUCGAGUCGGUCCGAAAAGGUAGCUUCGGCCUCUGGCCGAGGAUGGGGUCCGCGGCGGAUUAGCUUGUUGGUGGGGUAAUGGCCUACCAAGGCUCCGAUCCGUAGCUGGUCUGAGAGGACGAUCAGCCACACUGGGACUGAGACACGGCCCAGACUCCUACGGGAGGCAGCAGUGGGAAUCUUGCGCAAUGGGCGAAAGCCUGAGGCAGCGACGCCGCGUGAGGGAAGAAGGCCUUCGGGUGUAAACCUCUUUCAGGAGGACGAAGCUACGUCGGUUAAUAGCCCAGAGGUGACGGUACCUCCGAGAAGAGCCCCGGACUAACGUACGUGCCAGCAGCCGCGUAA
rnacentral:rRNA from 1 species